CUACAAAGGAAUUGAGGGCCCCGCACAAGCAGCGGAGCGUGUGGUUAAUUCGAUGUUACACGAAGAACCUUACCAGGGUUUGACAUGCAAGUGGUAGGAAGCCGAAAGGUGACCGACCUUCGGGGAGCUUGCACAGGUGCUGCAUGGCUGUCGUCAGCUCGUGUCGUGAGAUGUUCGGUUAAGUCCGCUAACGAGCGCAACCCUCGCUGUGUGUUAUAUGUGUCACACGGGACUGCCGGUCUUAAGCCGGAGGAAGGUGGGGAUGAUGUUAAGUCAGCAUGGCCUUUAUAUCCUGGGCUACACACACGCUACAAUGGCCAACACAAUAGGUUGCUAAGCCGCGAGGUGGCGCCAAUCCAUAAAGUUGGUCUCAGUUCAGAUUGUAGGCUGCAACCCGCCUGCAUGAAGAUGGAGUUGCUAGUAACCGCAGGUCAGCUAUACUGCGGUGAAUACGUUCCCGGGGCUU
rnacentral:rRNA from 1 species